rnacentral:lncRNA from 1 species
UUCACACACAGAGGAGGGAGCAGUUGUUGGAGCCCAUCUUUAAAGACCACUGACCACACUCCGGUUCAGUUCAGACUUCUCACAAACACCCUUACAGGGUCCUGUGGACCACUAAUCCCAGGAUGCGAAUUAGAAAGGGAAGAGUGUUAGGGCUGGCUGUGUACAAAGCCUUCACAUGCCUCACACCCAAAAACUCAGGAUGAGGUUGAGCCCCUCUUCCUUGAGCUGCCACCCUGCCAGAUGUUGCUUCCAUUGCAACGUGAACAACACUAAUUGCAAAGAGUUUACUGGGAUAUUUUUUGAAAGAACACCUGGUUUUCACUUUGAUUAAACUUCUUACCCCAAACCACAGGUUUUCCCUUUAUCAAGAAGACCUGAAGCAAAGAGAGGGUGGUGAUCUGUCCAGGUAAGGAAGCUGCUCUUACCUUACAACUUAAGUGGUAUUGCUUGGCCCUUCUAGCCAUCAGAAAUGCUCUUUGGGUUUCACCUUAACACCAUAGUCAAUCAACUGUAUGUUUUUGUUCAAAGUCUUCAUCCAGCUAACUUUGACCUCAAUAGAGAAACAUGGGAGAUGACUGGCUGAAUAGUUUAUUUUUCCCACAAAUGCUUUAGCAUUAUAUAGACAUGGAUGUAGUGUGCCCUCAGGCAUCAUAAGGAACUGACAAUUUUUGGUUUUGAAAAAUGAACUAAACUUGUCCCGAUAAUUUUGCCUGGCACUGCAACUCAAUGAAUAAUUCAGCUAAUUUACACCAUAGUCAUUUGUACAUUAUGAGUGUACAUGCUUUGAAAGUAUUUCUGUACCUUUGUCAUAUUGCCUAUUAAAUGUGUUCUGAAAAUAGAUACCAUGUGUGAAUGUAAGUCCUUGUUUAAAGAGUAUGUGAAUUGACACCGUGGGACCUCGUGAACAA